rnacentral:lncRNA from 1 species
AUGCCCAGUGACUCCCUCGGAGUCAGGGUCGGGGUGGAAGGGGGUGGGCCCAGGCCUGAGGAAGGACCAGGAUUCCCCCCACCCGGCCCCCCGAGGAGCAGGGCCCCCCAGCCCUUGGUCAGAGGCAGCAGCUGCCCUCUCAGGCCCGCCUGGCACACACUGGACCCCUGGGGGCGGGGGCGGGGGUGUCAGUGCUCUGAGACCCCAGGGACCCCCAGGACCCCUGCCCCUGGUGCUGAACCUAAGGAGCAAACCCCCUUGGUGAGGAGCAGAGUCUGCUGGGGAAGCAGAGGUAACAAGGAAGGUGGUGACGGUGGGGGGGGUCCCCACUUGAACCCCACCCCAGGCUACUGUGUGAGUGAGUGUGGGGCGCAGAUCCUCCCGAUGCCCCCAGUUCUUCCCCUUGGCUCUGGUAGGGAAACGAGGUCUGGGUCUGGGGCCCCCGGCCUUGCAGAGGGGAGGGGCAUCCAUGGCCGUGGGGGGCAGGGUCGUGUCCCCAGGUGCCCCCAGAGCCAGGAGGGCAGGGGUGUGCAGCUGGGAGGCCCUGCCCAGCAGACCUACCGCCCAGGGUGCCCCCAGUGGGGGGUCAGGGGCUCCCACACAGCCCUCCCGGGGGGACUGUCCUCGGCCUUUGCACCCCGCUGCCCGCCUGCCCCCGUCUCUCCCUGCCUUCCUGGGUCCUGGCAGGUGGAGCCACCCCUGGCGCCGUCCCCUCUGCUGAGCAGAACUCCAGAGGCUCCUGCCCUGUCCUCGUGGGGGGGGGGGUCACCCCAGGCCACCCCACUUCUGGGGGCGGGUGCUGGGGAGGGAGCGUGUCUGUGUGAUUGGGGGGCAGGGUGUGCAGGGAGGGUGGCCCCUCAAAGGACUAGUUGUGGAAAUCCUUACCGGGGCCGCCGGGCUGACUGGCUCAGGUCACGGCUCUCAGGGUCGGGGGGUCGAGCCCCGAGCCCCUGCGUGGACCCCAGGCUCAGCCAGGAGUCUGCUGCUCCCUUUCCCGCUGCCUCCGCCCCCCCCCCCCCCCCCCCCCGCACUGUGCGGCCAGCGUGUGUCUGCUCUCUCGCUCUCGCUCAAGUAAAUAAAAUAUUUUGA